ensembl:lncRNA
UGUUCUUAGAAGUAUUUUCCAACCUUAAUGAUACUAUGAUUCUAUGUUUCUAUGAUUCCUGGGGAGGGAAUAGCCAGUCUCACCAAACAAAGGAAUUCUACUGUUUCUCCUGUAGCUUCUCCAGCGUAUUUCCCUAAUGGAGAGUUUAGAAAAACCUGACCCCUAGUCAUACCGUGCCACUAAUGCUGCAGCUCCAAGCUUGUGGAACCUGAGGUGGAGCAAGCAAGUGCCAGUAAGAGAAACAUUCCAGGGAAGGAAGAAAUUACCAGAAGAUUGUCCCCAGUAACACUGGAACUAAACUGUGGAUGUGGAAUAUUGUAAGAUUUUGAGGAUUUAUUUGAAACAGACAAACAAAAAUCCUCUACGUCAUGUGGAAGUCCUUCAAAUGGAAAUCCUGCCUUGGCUUAUCUGCAUGCAGCUCUCCUGAAUUCAAUCAAAUUCAUCUGAACUAUUUCAAAUUCCACUGGAGGAGGAGACAGGAGGAUUUAGUAGACAUUGCCUGCUGAGAAGAAACAAGGGGCGAUAACUCAGGGAAAGCCUAAAAGAGUAGGACCUGUCAUGCAGCCUCCUUAACUAUGUCGUUCCUAACUGCAUUUGUUACAGUCUUAGCCAUGAUCUUGCCCAAUCCCAGCUGCGUACACCUGUGUGCUCACUUAGAGCCCGUUUUUUGCACCUAUGUGAAGCCUACUCAGAUUUUGAAUACGUAUGAGUUUUGCAACAAUUUACAUUUUCUGUAUUGGUGUAACUUUAGAUAUUUAGUUUCAGCUCUGGCUCAACAUAGUACAUCAGACGUUUUAAAGAUAUAUUUUUUUUUUCCAUAAGAGGAAAAGUAAUUUUAAAGUUGGGUAAAGACAAGGGGAGGUAAGGUGAUAUGGGCCGGUUUGUUUAGCAAUAGGGAUCUGUUUAUUAGUUUAAGGACCAACAUAUUAGUUUAGCAAAAGGAAUCAAUGAAUGCUAAUUCUAAAACUUUCCUUUUCGCUUUUCUUGGUGUGUGAGCAGCCCUGUUUUCUCUUAAUUCUGCUUCACAAGAAGCACCAGAGACAUAAUAGACUGCUUAUCUUUGCAUUUCAUGAGGUGCUAGGAUGUUUUCCUCAUAUUUUCACAUAUAUGGUUUUGGAAAUUGCUGAUUAUGGGUUAACAACCAAUAGAAAUGUGCCAAACAGGGGAAAAACGGCUGAAGGUCAGCUAAAAGUCUCAAUGAUGAAGCUGAUGGUGGAAAAGUGGGGAUAAAGUAAGUGGGCAUAUGACCACCCUAAAUGCAACCAUGCAUGCCCAGAGGGAUAUUAGCAUAUGUUAAUGUGUUCUUGGAAAAGAAUGAAUACGUAUGUCAGUGUACUGCAUAUGCAUGUCUUAACUAUUUAACUGUAGAACCUGAACUCUGAGAGAGUGCGCUUGUUCGUCAAGUUGUCCAAUUCAUAUCAUGAGGAAUAAAGGAAAGGCACUUUCUAACACUACAUUGGAGUUAGAGGGUUUUCUUCCCAGAUAUUGGAUGACAAGGUAUCUACCUUGAGGAAAGAUAUUAUGAAGACCUACUUACAGAUGCUCUAGUUUUUUGGCCAUAUUUUGAUAAUUAGCAUGGAAACCAUGGACCUGAUUUGAGCUAAGCUGUUUGAUCACGUUUUGGAUGACAAGCUGCCCUUUAGCUUGUGUAAAUACGUGAUAUAACUCAUCACCAUUUUCAGUAUAAACCAGCAAGUUCAUCUAAACAUAUCAGUUUUGGUGAAGCCAAAUGUCUUUAUUGCCUAGGGUGAUUUUUUUUAAACUUAUUUCUAAAACUGUGGGAUUUCCAAUUAAAAAAAAAAAUCCCAAAUGUAUUUAUGAAUAAAAAAGGAUAAACACAGUGAUUGCGGAUGCACAUUUUAAUUAACUGGAAAAUCUCUUCUUCUUUUUGUU